rnacentral:rRNA from 1 species
CUAUGGUAAUCAGCCUUUUGGGUGUGAUUUUGUGGAGCGUGAAGAGUUAAACGCCUUCAUGUCUCAUAUUCGUGCACUUUGGGUGUACUUGCCGUGUGUAAGUUAACAUCAAUUUUGGUGGUCUAAAAUGGCUGGAGGAAUGUAGCUUCGAUCUUGUAUUGAAGUGUUAUAGCCUUCGGUAGUGUGACGAUCGGGAUUGAGGAUUGCAACGGAUACCCUUCGGGGCUACCUGUCUGAUCUCGAAAGUCGCUCGGGGGGUCGAAAGCGUUGCGUGCUUACGGCUCACCACCCGAGUUGGCGUCAAUAGGUUAGAACGUGAUUAUAUUCGUUAAGGAUGUUGGCGUAAUGGCUUUAAACGA